AUACGGAGGGGGUUAGCGUUGUUCGGAAUUACUGGGCGUAAAGCGCGCGUAGGCGGAUUGGUAAGUUAGAGGUGAAAUCCCGGGGCUCAACCCCGGAACUGCCUUUAAUACUGCCAGUCUUGAGUUCGAGAGAGGUGAGUGGAAUUCCUAGUGUAGAGGUGAAAUUCGUAGAUAUUAGGAGGAACACCAGUGGCGAAGGCGGCUCACUGGCUCGAUACUGACGCUGAGGUGCGAAAGCGUGGGGAGCAAACAGGAUUAGAAACCCUAGUAGUCC
rnacentral:rRNA from 1 species